AAAAAUCCCAAAAUCGCUACGAAAUCCACGACUCAAGUUUCUUUGUAUGAAAAAGAUAGGGCAAAAAAACCAUCUCCAACCAGUGAAUCUUUCCAUGGCGGCUUUGGGGUUUCCAAUUGAUAACUAUUUCUCCCUCUGUGGACUCUUUCUUGAAAUUUUCGCUUUACAUUGCACCAUUAACGGUAAGAGCUAUUGAUCUAGUCCUUCCUGUUCUUUUUUCUCUUGAAAUAUUUAUUCAAUUCGAAUUUUGAUACAUUUCUCCAUUUUUGUUUUGACUUUUCGAAGGUUUCAAAUGAUUGUAAAGCUCUAAUAGUUUCAGCUAGUAUAAAUUGAGAAGGAAUGGCAAAAGUUAGAGAUAUAACUGAGGAUUUUAAAGAUGCAAUUCUGCUUGUGGCAACGGUUUUGGGAUACAAUGAGAUUCUUUUCCUUUGUGAAUUUUGUUAUUUUUCAAUCAAUAUGAUAUCAGUCGAAAUUUUUUGAUAUAUUUUUUCCAUUGACCAUUUAUAUGGUGGUUUGAGAUUGGAAUUUAAAACUUUUUCAACACAAUUAUAAAUACUUUGCGAGGUUUGACAGAAGUUUUGUUUUGUGUAAAAUGUUAUGCGAAUUUUGUUUAUGAAAUGCUAUGACGAUUCUCUUAGGUGAUCUUUAUUUUUUUUCUUGGUAUUGUGCCUUCGCUUACUGCAGUUGGUGAUGAGGAAUACUAAUCGAUUCUUACUUAGCCAGUGCUACUGCAAUACGAUUAAUACUAAAUAUUACCUGCUAAAUACUGAUCUUGUUCACAUAUCCGACAACAGAAAUGGUAUUACAAAAUUCUUGUGCUCCAUUUUAUCUUCAUUUUAUCGUAGUUUUUAUGCCUAAGUGAUAUUUUUGUACUUGUUUGCUAUAAUUUUGGUAUGGAUGUCAAGUUUAGGAAAGGAUGCUGAGGCAUUAAUCAAGAAAUUGAGCACAUCGAAAGAUAAAGGUCCCUCAGGUCUCCAAGAGGGCUAGCUGCAAAGUACUGGGAGAAGCCAACUAAGUAUGUUAGCCCAAAAUGCAACCCCCAUUUUAUCCAGCAGCAGCAUUCAAUUAUUGGUUAUUAGAUUGCAGCAAAGCAGUUCCUGCUUCUUGUAACUCUAUGUAUAGAAUAAGGUUGUAACUCUCUUGUAUUUAGCUUUGUUCAUAUUCUAACUGUCCCUUUUUAGCUCAAAUAUGAAACUUUUAGAAAAUGUAAUAACUAUUAUGUAGAACAAAUAGUGAGAAAAGAAAUGAAAAGGUUAUCAUUUUGGUUUUGGUUGGACAAUAGGUCCAGUGAGGCCUCUGGUUCAAAUCCAGAUCAUUCAUUGUCAGUAUGAGUUUAUUUCCAUAAAAAAUGAUUUUUUUGGUAGAAUAGAAUUGUCGCUGAAUGCAAAUGUCAUGUUUUGGUGCUUGUAUAUCCUUUUAUGAAAUCUUAGUUGAAACAAAAGGUUGGUGUCUGAUGUAAUGUUUUGAAUGACAUUUUACCUGCAAGGUUGGCCUUGGUGAAGAUGGAGUGGUGUGGCCCCCAGGACACAUCUCCAAGUGGUAAAAGGGGAGGGUGGAGAAAUCCAGCUUUGUUUAAGGCUGCUGCGUCAAGGGUUCGAAUCCUGAAAUAUGGAUUUGACUUUUGGGUAAGUGCAAGUGUACAAGUAGUCUUCCACCCUGUACCCUUAGAGGCAUAACCUGCGAUUUACCUCCCUCACGAUACUCCAGGACAGAGGUGGUGGGGGACCCUUAAGGUUAGGGUUUAACCUUUUUUGAGAUGG
rnacentral:lncRNA from 1 species